rnacentral:tRNA from 1 species
UCUAAUAUGGCAGAUUAGUGCAAUGAAUUUAAGCUUCAUAAAUAAAGAUUAACCCUUUUAUUAGAA